rnacentral:lncRNA from 1 species
UCCCUUCCUGAACUGGAUGUUUUCUCAUCCAGCAGGUGGCAACAUAAGGACAUGAGAACUGAAGAGUGGAGGGAAGGCAGUUAAUCUGCCUUUACCUAAUAUAUAAUAAACACCAAGCUCAUUCUGGUGGUAGAAUAGCCAUAGUACUGUGGAGGUCUUUAAAGCAGCAAAGCUUUUCUCACUUGAAAGACUCCUGACCAUUUCUCACCUUUUGACUGUGCACACUAGCCUAUCAAUGUGGCUUGUUAAAGAUGCUAGUAAUUUGGAGUUGCCUAAUCUAAUUUUCAGUUUACCUAUAUCUACUGCCUUAACCUAUUCAACUCUUAGGAACACAGGCGGAUGCUAGGGGCAUAGUUCUGACUAUACUGAGGUAGGAAGGGAAAAAGGCAAGGGUUAGAAUUUUCUUAUUCUGUGUGGGAUAUAAGGGUGCUGUGUGUAUGCCUGGUACCCAGAGUCUAGAAGAGGGGGUUCAGAUUGUCUUGGAACUAGUAACAAUUGCAAGACAAUACUGGGAAUUGAAUUUGCAUCUACUUAUAGAAUAGCAAGUACUAUUAACUGCCAAGCUAGCUCUGUAGCCCUAGGAUUAGCAUCUAACAGGCUAGUUUCAUCCAGUUAGUGGUAAACCUUUCGCCACAGAAUAAAAGGGCUCUCACAGUCCUACAGAGGAAAAACUCAUUUUGGUUGCUGUCCUCUAUUAAGUGCCUACUAAAUGCUAAGUGUUAAGAGAUGAUAGAACUGAUUCCAGGGAAUAUUCAACAUACUAUAGGAGGGGACUUUCAGGCUAGUUAAUCUGUGUUCUUAUGGGAUCUUUCUGCCUUUUGAAAUAGGGUCUCUUGGUUUCUUCUGAGCUUCAUACUCCCUACAAGCUUCCAGGUGUUUCUGGCAGUAGGAAAGUGGGGAUUAGCAAUGCAUGCCAUCUCAGUUGCUUUUUAUCUGGGUUCCAGGGAUCCUGGUCAUCAAGUUCUCACUGGUAAAUCCUCAAGACCUCCAUCUUGGUUUUUGAGACAGGGUCUUUAGCUCUAUGGCCACCAUGGAACUAAAUAGGUAGACUAUGCUGGCCUCAAGGUCUGUCAGAGGCCUGUGUCACCGUGUCAGGCUCCAUUAUAAACAAUAUCAGAAGGGUAGGCCCAUUUUAAUCCUUAAAACAUUUCUAGGUUUAUUUGGGGGGUGAUUUUAUUUUGAGUAGGGUUUUACUGUGUAUCCCUGAUUGUCUUUGAAAUUGGUGUCUUCAACUGCUGAGAUUUACAGGCAUGCACAACCACACUCAGUGCUUAGGUUCUAAAUUCUCAUCCAUUAUUUUUCAAAUAAUGCCUUUUAGUCCCAUUCUCUACUGGAUUCUGUUAACCUGAUAAUGACAUUGAAGCUAGUUUUUUCCUACGUUUUUUCUCUUUGAAUAUUAAUUUGGAUGCUUUCUACUGGUCUGGUUUCUAGUUAAAUGAUUCUUCUGCUAAGGCCCUUUAGUGAAGCUUUCAGGUGUCUUUAGGUGGUUUUUAAAUGUAUUUUAUGUGUAUAGGUGUUACCAUCUUUGCAUGCAGUGCUACAGGAGGCCGGAAGAGGGCGGCUCUUCCAGUACUUGUGAGCUACCAUGUGGAUACUGUGACUCAAACUUGGUUUUUCUGUACAGCUGAGCCAUCUAGCCCUUAAAGUGUCUUCUUCUAGGAUUUUCAUGGUUUCUACUUUACAAAGCCCCCCUUAAUCACUUAAACUUCUACCGUAAUUGAAGUCAUCUGUAAAUUUUUUAUGUGCAUUGGUAUUUGGCCUGUGUGUGAGGGAGUCAAAUCUUCCAUGUCAAACAGUUGUGAGCUGCCAUGUGGGUGCUGGGGAUUGAACCUCAGUCCUCUGAAGAAUAAUCAAUGCCCUUAACUGCUGAGCCACCUCCUUAUUUGUAAUUUUAACAUGAGUUGUUGUUGAGUACUUGUUUAGAUUAUGGAAAGUUUCUCUUUAUUGUAUGCCUAAACUGAACAUUGACCCACAUUUAGAGGCUGUAUACUGAGACUUAGAUUUAUUUAGUCUUGCUAAUUCAAGUACAUUUUGUUCUGGCAUUCUGCUUUUAGUCCUAUACCUAAGCUGUUACCGUUCUAACUUCUGCUUUUCUUCCCUUAAGUAGUAUCUUGUAUGUUGUUAGUGAUAAGAAGCUAGCAGAAUCUGAGUUUCUUCGUUUUUCAUAGAAUGUGAGAUUUACUUUAAAGUCACUUAUUCAUCCUAAGAAUACCAGCUGUGUUUUUUCUUGAGCCAUUGUAAUCACUAAGUGGAAAGUAAGGAGCUUCUCAGUGAUUAAACACUGGCUGUUCUUGCAGAGGACCCCAGUUCAGUUCUCAGCAGCCAGAUAGUGCUUCACUGUGACUGUAGUCCCAGGGACCCAAGGUCCUUUUUUCUUGGUACUUUGUGGUGCAGAAGCAUAAAUACUAGCCAAACACCCAUAUACAUAAAUUAAAAAUGAAGAGGAAAAUUAAAAAUUUAGGAGAAGUUGGAAGCAACUUUUAUGUC